UACCGUCUACAUCAGGAAACGUCGCAGGAAGUCAACUUAUCGAACGCGAACAUUCCAAUAAAUAAAAAGGCACAAGAAAAAAAAUCUUUCCACAAAUGAGAAGCAAGUUUGUGCAAUUAUCUCAUCGAGUUCCAGAAAUUAAAGAAUGCACGCAUAUGGAUUUCUGAUUUGCUGCAUUAUUUUGAGUCAAGUGUUAAUUUCUCACAGUCAACAGAAAAGAGUUCCGUGCUGGACAAGGCAAAAAUGUGACGCAUGCACCAGAAAGUCUCGAAUUGGACAGAUGUCUCUUUGCUGUGAAGAAUGUGCUGUGGGAAAAUUGAAUGUCAGAGUCACGAGAUCCAAAGUUUACUGUUGGUGUCUCAAAAGUUGAAGCUGAAAAGUGUUCCAAAUAUUUAAAAAGUAAAUACUCGAUGCUUCUUGGAGGUGGAAAGGUUUAAAAGAUAGAAAACUGCAUUUUGGAUCUGGAAAAAUGACCAAGGCAAAAAAGAUAAGCAACACCAGAUAUAGUACCUCGUAAAAUCUGUGACAAAUAUCAAUAAACUGCAGUAUAGUUAAAAUAAACGCAUUUUACUUCAA